GGAACCCCGACUGUCGUCAUUGGGAUCAACGGGCCACAUUAGGCUCGUUCAAAUUAGGCCCUUAAAUAUUGCUACGUGUCAGUCAGGUUUAUGACCUUUGCGAGAUCUUUCCACCCUCCCAAGACACACACACACACACGCCUUUAUGCAGUGCGCGGGCAAAGCCAGCUGUUGAUAGGUAUGUAGAACUCAUUUAGAACCAGACUCGCGUUUCCCUUCAGGAAUAUGAUUGCAAACCGACCCGGAGAGGCCGCAGCAUCCCCGUCGGGGCGGCCGGGAGCCGGUUUAACUGGAAGCAGGGAAAUGGGGCAGGCGGCAUGGGGCGAUGUGAGGAGGGGACAAGGAAGAGAGACGUGGCUUGCUCUUGAAUUUUGGGUUGUGAUUUGAAUUUUUGUCCCCUGGACGGAAUGGAGAGGGGAAACUUUCCAGAAGGCUCCCGUCCCAUCGAUGAAACAUUGUACGUGUGUGUGUAGCGGGCAGAAUAAGAGAACAUCAGCGUUUGAGAUUUGCCAGAAUUGCACUAUAUUUUGGGUGUGAGCGACGCCCUCGGGUUUGUUUUUUUAACAGAAGGUGUGUGUGUGUGAGAGAGAGAGAUUUGUAGUAGCCAGAGUUCCCAUUCUCCCGUUUGAGAGUCAUCUACGCCACUUUUGCGCCCGAUCCUAAUGCUGUGAUCAGCGAGGCAGAUUACCCCCAUAAGGCACAGGUUUGUGUAAAGCGCCGUAGGUUCUGUUCUUUUCUCCCAUCUCCCCACUGCAUCGAAUUCUUGGGUCGCAGAAGACGCAAGUUGUGGGGAAGGGCUCGGAGGUUUUUCAUGCAGGAGGUUCUGGGUUCAAUCCUCGGUAGGCCCGGAAAAAGACACCUGCCUGAAACCCUGGGCAGGCGUUGGCAGUCAGUGUUGGAAACACUUAGAGCGGCAGAGCUUUGUGAACUGCAGAGCCCCUAGCCAUGCUUACUGGGAUACAAGUCCCACUAAGUUCUGCAUUUAUUUGCCUUGACUUCAGUUGCGCUUAAACUACAAUACCUCUUGAACGCGGUUAGAGUCCCACUAAGAGGCAGUGGAAAAAUGGAGAGAGGGGUUCGAGUCUUCCUCUGGGCUAUGACUUAGCUCAGUGAGGGGAUCUUGGACCGAUCUCUUCCCCUCCUUCUCUCUCUCUUUCCUCUACCCCACCUCGCAGGAGUGUUAUGAGGAUAAAAAGAGAGAGCGACUUAUGGACGCUGCCCUGAACUCCUCAGUAUAACAUUAUAUAUUACACACAUUGUUGCAUAUGUACUAUUAUUACAUAUGUAAUAUUGCAUAUUACACACACAUAUUGGCAGGUGUCCUUAGGCAGGUUCUGCUCGCUGUCUGCAUUAGGGGGGUAUAUUUGUGUGUGUGCAGUGAUAAUAUUGCCUGCCAUACCGGGUUUUUUAAGGAGCGCUUUGGGGAUAUUCGCUGCACCAGUGCCAGGCGUUAUUUAUUGCAUUGGGGGCAAUAUUAUUUUAUUCGUUGCUUAGAAACAAUUUCCCUAUUUAAAUUAGUCCUGGGUCGGACUGGGGACUUGCAAUAUAUAAAAGAAACACAAAUUAUACCAAAAAGAACAACAACAGCACCACGAGGGAAAUGCGAAUUAGCACGAAAUGUCGGUGGGUUCAGGAUUUCUGUUCAGGACAACGUGAGAGGCUGCUGAUUACCCUUUGCAAAUGAAAGACAUAUAAAAAGCCCGUCCGUCCUAAAUAAGUUGGGCCCAAUCUGCGCGAGACGUUCUGCUGCGCAAGUCCUAUUUGGAAAAGGGAGAGGAGCCGCCAGUUCACUUCAGUAAAGCUUGCGCAGGAGAACUCCCCGCUGGCUUGUUCGCCUUAGAUCGCUCCCAGGGAUUCUAGAUCCAAUUUUAUUUCCAGCGAUACAUUCCAAUUUACCACCCACGAUUUGCCCCCAGCAGACAAAAAUCCAAUUUAUUUUGUGUAACUAAGAGAGGAAUUCCCGUCUCCCAAUUCACAAAUGCGGGGUGGGUGGGUGCGCGCACCCCAGUGAUACCAUCUUAAAUCCAUGGAAAACGCGGGGGGAGACCCUAUACCCGAAAAUGUUUUAACGGACUAAACCAUAAAUGCAAUGUGAUAUAUGUUUAAAAGUCUCUAAUGCGCAGCUUACUGAGCAAUAACGAAGAAUACUGCCUGAAAACGCCAGCCCCCCCACCACGUGCCCAAUAGCUUCAUAAAUAAAAGGGUCAUUUUAUGCACAAUGAAAAUUUGCAAGAUUUCUGCAGGCUGGCUAUUCCCAAUUUGUGUAGUUUUUAGGGAACGAUCCAGAAUUUUUUCACCACCCCCUCAUCGUACCCUUGGGUCCUAGACGCUAUAUGAAAGCGCACCCCUUCGAUUCAGUUAAUUGACCUCUCGCCACUACAGCCCCCUGUCCCCGCCGCUCAGUCGAGUCCUUCUAAUUUUCCGUAAAUAAAAGCGCUCACUUUGGCCUGCUCGACCUUAUGUUAAGAAUCGGAAGGCAGAAACUCCAGUUCAAGAGUUAGGGAGAGAGGGAGCCACGUGUUUCUCCCGCGAGCAAGUAAGUAUGGGUGCCAAAAACUGUCAGCCUUGACCAGAGAGACGGUCCAGGAGCCUUUCCUCAGAAACGCGUCCUGAGGUCGCAGUACAAGGACUUGGGAGGUUUCUUCCAGGUGGAUGGAAGAGCAUCUCUUUUGCAUGCAGAAGGUCCCAAGUUCAACCCCCUCCAGGUAGGGCUGGGAGAGGCCCCCUAUCUGAAACCCCGGAGAGCUGCUGCCAGUCAGAAUUAGAUGCACCAAAGUUCUGACUCAGUAUAAAUUUGUUCCUCAACCAACAGAGUGAAAUUUGCUUCUGUGGAAACGCGCGCAGGAUUUCGCUUGCACCUUUUCCAAAAGGAAGACAGAUUUGUGAGUCUAAGAAAUCGCUCAAACUCCUCGAGAUUAAGAUAGGACAAUGCCCCCCCCCCAUUAUCAUAUUUCCAGGACAGGUGGAAGCAUAUUUAUUUAUCUGGGCUUCUGGAACCCGAAGAUGCUGAUGGUUGGAACUGAGGUUUAGGCUGCGAUCUUCACCCCACUUUACGGGGGUGGGUGCCCCACUGAAUUGAAGAGGACUUAACUUCCGACUAGACAUGGUUAGGAUCGCACUGUUACUAACGGUUGCUGAUUUGUAUAAUACGUGCACCAUUUUUAUUUGGUUUGAUUGCUAUGCUGCUCUUGCGCUGGGUCUGGAAAGCCGCCCCGUGCUCCAAUCCGGAGGAAAGGCGUCCUAUAAAAACUCUGAAACAAACAAACAAACAAACAAACAAACCAACAAAAACAAGGGGCUCAAACCAGCUUUAAUCACAUUGGGAAAUAUUUGGAUGUUUAGUAACUGUGUGUUUUUGUGCGAGAGAGAGAGAGAUAUGCAUUUUGUGUUCCUAAAGCCAUAGUUUGGGAUAGUGAAGACUCUGGACACCCUGAAAGCUUACUCAUUUUGCUCGCGUGAUAGCUCAACCGUCAUAUCAAAGCAGAACCGCUGAAACUGAUUAAUUCCAAUGCAUCAACUCUUGAGCAAGACCAAAAUGAAAACUUACCCUUAGUCCUAAUUUGGAUUCCCGUCUACCAGGGCUACUACAUUUGCUUUUUGACCAUAAGGAAGAACAUUUUUACGGAUUUCCCACAUUUACAGAGAAAGUUUGCUCCAGGCAGCAAAUUUUCUCCGCGACUGACCGGGAGCGCGGGGGGCGUGUGUGUGUGUUUUGGUACACAAACAGGACCUCGGUUAUGUCUUUGAACCACGACUUGGGGGAGCGCAAAGGCCCAGUCGCUGGAAGUGGGGAGGCAGUUCUCGAAGUUUGGACGAGAUUUCUGGGAACUCUUUUUGUUUUCAAUGUUCGUGGGGGAGCAGCUUUAUGUCGACGAUUAUCUGCAAAUGCCGACGUUAUUAGCUUCUUAUUAUAUAGGCAGAUCGAGGCCAGCGUUGUUCCAAUAUGCAGACUAAAGCUUUUUGCAAUUUCUUGUGUAUACUAUUUGUAAAGUGCGCCGAGGCAGGGGGGCUCUCUUCCUCAGAUUUCAGCCCACCAAAAAUCUUGGCCUGUCUAGCAAAAGUGUUGGCCAUUCCAGGACCGGAGGGGUGGGGUGGGGGAGGGGGGAGGGGAAGAGCAUAAGAGGAGGGGGAGGGGGAAAUGGCGAUUUCCCUUUUAAGCUGCUGGGUCUGGCUUUCUAGUGAUUAAAUUUUUCCUGAUGUGGACUGGACUUAUGGACAAAUGAUUGAGAACACUCCUUCGGGCGCCAAGCGAGAGCCGCCAGUGAGGGUCCGGGGUCUUUUAUCCUCUAGAAUGCUCCAGGGAGGAGAAGAAGGGGGGGACACAGAGAACCCCUGGCACCCCCCCUCAGCAGCCUCCCCUCCCCUCAGCUUGCUCUGACUUUGCGAGGGGGGAUUCUCCCCGCCCCCACGCUCUCUCCUCCCCCUCCUCAUUUGCCCCGCAUUUCCUGCUGAAGUCGUAAACUUUAUUUGAUUUACCGUGAUUCAAUGAACCUGCUUAAACUUAACAUGUGUUCCGUCUUGUUCCCCCGGCCUAUUAAAAACAAACCCUCCCCAAACCACCAGCGACUCGGGGGGGACCCCAAACAAUCCCUUGUUGAGUGCGCUUUUAAUAAGAUGGAGAGAGGGGAGGAGAAGAAGAAAAAGCAAAAACAAAAAAACCAACAGCAACUCAAAAUUGUCGAGAGGACUAGUAACCUGGCUGGCCUGCGGCAGAGAUAUUAAAAAAUAAACAAGCAAGCACUGGAAUCAAAGAGUGUUUUGGUGUUUGGCUUGUUAGCUUGUUUGGCUUUGGGUAGCAGCGAUUACUCAGUGGGAAAUGUUGACAAAACUCAGGCUGGUGGGGGAAAAGAGCCACGGUCGUGCUCCUGAAGUUUCCGCAACUCUCGCUCGCGGACACUAGGGGCGCCAUUACAAGUUUCAGAAGAGAGGAAUUGGGCGAGAUUCAUAUCAAGGUUCGAAGGCCCGAUCUUGAAUAUAUUCAAAACCUAACUUUUGUAUUCCAAGGAAUACAGCUUAAUAUAUUCUGUGAUGGUUCCUAUGGGCACAUGGACUCUUUUAAAUUAGUCAGCUCCAGUUGGUAGAGCGUGAAAAUCUUAAUCUGUGGGUUGGAGAAGAUUGCAAAGGGUUGGCGUUUGUGGUUCCAUCCAACUCUACAAUUCUAUGAACGUACACCGAGUCAGCCCAUUGGUCAUUGCAGCCCAGUAUGGUCUACAGUGGCUUUCCAGAGAGCUUCAGGCAGAGGGGCUGUUCCCAGCCCUACCAUUGGGAACUGAAUUUAGGACCUUCGGCAUGCAAAGCAGAUCCUCUACCGCAGAGCUACCGCCCUUCCCCCGUAGUAGGGAGAUAGGUAUAAGUAAUAACAUUAUGGUUAUUAUUGCCGCUUUGUGUUGCCUUGGGCAAGAUAAGGACUAACAAAUUUAAUGAAUGAAAUAAUAAAAAGAUGAGGCGCCACGUGCACUCAUGGUGCAGUAAUAAUAACUCAUUGUAACCGGGUAUAUUCUCAGUCCGAAAAUAAGAAUAAUUCCACAUGUUGGUCGUGGUGGGGGGAGAGAAUCUUACUCUCUUGCCCUCGCUUUCUAUUUCACACAUACAAAUUUGUCCAUUUCUUUUUACCCUUUCAGAAAAAGGGAAGUGUCUAGGACACCAAUCCUAUUCAAUCCUCACUUGGGAUUAAGUCCUAUUACACCGAAAGGGACCUACUUUCGAAUACGCAAACCUAAAAUCGGGUCUCAUCUCCGGAAUCCCAUGAUGGGAACGUGCUAUUGAAAUCAUUGGCCGCCGCCCCUUUUUUUAUUUUGUUUUGCUUGGUUUUUCUUUAUUAAUUCUUUUUUAAUGAAAAAUUCUGGUGAUUGACUUCUCACAAAUAAAUAAAUUAUGAAAUAUCCGUAACGAUAAUAAUGGAAAUUCUGAGAAAUGAUGAUUGACCUUAAGAGUGCUUUUAUUGGGAAUUCAUAUAUGCGGCCUUGGCAGCAGAACGUGCCCUAGACGGUUUACAACAAUUGAAACGAAUAGGAAAUAAAUGUUCUUUCUCUUUCUUUCUUUCUUUCUUUCUUUCUUUCUUUCCUGGAACUUUCGAAGGAAAUCUAGUAAAAGCGUCCACCUUGAACCCAGUUCUAAACUAGGGAGCGAUACCUCUGUCCAGCGCAGGAAGAUCAAGUAUUCAUGUGGGCAGUGUAUCCGUUUGGGUAACUUUGAUUCGGGGUUGGUAGAGAGCUGGCUAGCUAAAUCCCUCCGUAGGUUUGAAACCAGCCUCCUGGGAAGAAUAAUCCUAUUUUGGAAAACGCUCUCCUCGGAUGGGGUGGCGUUUAAGCAGCGGUAGAGGGAGCGAUUCGGCCGGAUCCAGCAAAGUUCAACGCUUUUAAAUCUCAACUGAUGAUUCAAGCGCCUGUUUAAUUCGGUCAUUUUAAAUCUAUGAGAUUUUAAAAUAUGUAAAUCUUGGCUAGAUAGGGGAGUAAAGAUUCCUGACUAGGUCAAAUAAAUAGAUCAACCUCGAGUCCUUAUUUUAGGGCGACUUGACUCGGGGUGCCAGGGAUCCCCAAAAACCACCGCGGCUUGAGUUCUGGAGUUUCAUUUGAGGGAGCGGAUAGGCUCUUGUACUUUUAUGUCUUGAGGAUUUAAGGGAAAGCGUGCAGGCCAGAUUCUGCCCGGUGGAUCUCCAAGCGCAGCCCCGCGCCUGUUUACUUUCACGAAAAUUUGCACAGAAUUCCACCCUGUUCCUAAUGGUGAGACUAGUUGUUCGUUUUGUUUUUCUGAUUCUUUAAUCUUCUGAUCUGCGAAGAUCCCGCCCCCGUCCUGUCCACAUUUAAGGUUCCAGGGCCGCUCUCGUUUAUUAAGACUUCGGGAGCAAAAUUGCGGGCACACACAUUUUUCUUUAUCUUAUCUCCAGGCCUCUGUUUACUCUCCUUGCUUUUAACUGCCCAGUGAAGAUAAAAUAGAAGAAUCAAUUUAACCGCCUACCCCACGAAGCAGAUGAUAUUUUGGAAAUAUCUAAGGGAGAGAAGCGAUCGCCGUUGCCGCAACCUUCCCCCCCCCCGCCCCCGUUAAUAAAGACAUAAUUUAAAGCUGGAAAAGUUCCUUUUCUACUUUUGAAAGCGAUAACCCAGGCGAACUUCGCAAAGAAGGACAUUAGCUAUGGACUCACUUCUCACCCCAAAAUAGCGACAGUCUGGGAGCGACCCCGAGGACCAGAUCUUUGCAAUCCACAUGUUCGCAAUUUUUCGCUCUCUUGUGGAUUUGUUUGUUUGUUUGUUUGUUUCCAGGUAUGCUUGAGAUUUCAGCGCAUAUCUGGUAUCCUAGCUAUGCCUGUUCGGAAAGAACUCUUACUGAAUUAAACGGGGCUUUCACCCAGAUAAUCUGAGUUAGGAUCGCAGCCUAAAUUCACUCAAGAGGGAUCAAGCCCCAUUAAACCCAGAGGACCCUAUUUUGUUUAGGAUCCGACUGGAAAGAAACUCGGGAUGGUCUUAGCACGGUAACCUUAACAACCUUAUACGCUUGUAUAUUUCACUGAAGAUCGAGGCAUUUGCUUCUGAAUAUCAGAGCCGCAAAGACUAGCCGAUUAAUCGGCUGGGUUAAUUGGUUUUAAAGCGAACCGACUAAUGGGGUGCUCCUAGAAAUCGGACCAGAGACGCGGGGUGGAGUUGGGACAGCAGCAGCAACAACAACAAAACCAUAAGUACUUGCAAAACUUCAGGCAGUGAUCACCAUCUUUAAAGGAGACACCGGCCCUUUUUCCUACGUCGGAAAGAAAGCAUCUUCCAAGACUGUUUUCCACGAUGCGCGUGCACAAUCGACAGAUCAGUUGAUGGAGCGACUAAAACCCACACAUGAUUGUAUGAGGUUUAUUUCACCAGGGGACACACCGCACUUCUAAAUCUCUCUUUUGCGGACUGGAAAACUUUUUAGGAUCGGGACGCCAGGGGGACAGAGUGGCGAGAGCUGUUUCCUACUACUCCAUCCUUUGAAGGAGAGAACCUCGUUGAAUAAAGCGGCACUGACUUCCUAAUAAACUUGCACAGGAUUUCGCCGCGUAGCUAGCUAUAAAAAGAACAAAUAAGUUGUCCGCUUUUUUGUUUGUCCACCAGAACUCUUAAGAGAAAUCCGUUAUAAUAUUUAUGAAUUGUUUUCAGUCGCUGUUUACACACACACACACACACACACACACACACACACACACACGGGUUUAGCCUAUCAGUUCAUAACGCCAGAUCCCGCUCCACAGCGAUGUUCAACACAGGACGCCUGAAGUCUGGGCAGUUUAACCGGUGUCCCAAACGCUCUUAGAAAGCGCGUGUGAGGUUGGGGAGGCCACGCAUGUUCUCUGUGAAGUUAGAUCCGUGGUGGCCCGUUCACACGUGAAAGCCAUCACUCGAUCUUGUGGUCGUGGCGGGGUGUGUGUGUGUGGACGUGCCCGUGGUUGAACUAAGCCCUGCAUGGCUGAAAGACAGGCAAAGUUAUUUCUGGUCUUUCCCUCCCCCCACUCCUCGAAUCUAUUUCCUCCUAAAUAUUAUCAGUUUCGACGUAUAUUCCGCCAUCCGUGUUGGGGAUCUUGUGGCCCUCCAGAUGUGGUUGGAUUCUGACUCCCAUUUUCCCUGAUCACUGACCUGGAGCUGAUGGACAAGUCAGAGUCCAGCAAACAUCUGGAGGGCCAGUUACGCCCAUGCCGCUGCUUUAAAUGAGAGAAGCAUCUGUCCCCAGGAGGUUACAGUCUUAAACUCGCCCUAGGAGAAGGCCACAGAGGGGUGGGGAGAAAAAGCGAAUCUCACAAGGGAGCAGUUCAGUGACAUGUGCUUAGGACAGCCGUCUCCUUCCUUUGCCCCAGCAAGAGCCACCCCAUCUAUUGGUGAAGGGUAGUGGAAUGGGCCUAACAUCUCAGGGCUCGCUUUAGUUUGUUCACUAUUAUAUUCCGCCUUUCUUCCAAGGAGCUGGAGGCGGUAUACAUACAUUUCCUUCUCCCCAUUUUAUCCUCACAACAACCCUGUGAGGAAGGGUAGGCUGACAGAAAGGGACUGUGGGCCAAGGUCACCCAAGGAACUUCCUGGCUGUGUGAGGACUAGGACACCGGUAUCUCAGGUCGUAGUCUAGCACUCUAACCACUACACUACACUGCCUUUCUCUCUCUCUCUCUCUCUCUCUCUCUCUCUCUCUUGAACGAAAUAAUUGCGACGGGGGAGCUUUUGCCUCACACCCAGGCCCCCUACCUACCCCUCCACCCAAUGUCAUUACAAGAGAACAGUUCAGUUGGUUAGAGCGUGGUGGUAAUAAGGCCAAGGUUGCAGGUUCGAUACCCGUAUGGGACGGCUCUAUAUUCCUGGAUUGCAGGGGGUUGGGCUAGUCUACGUGAUCCUCAGGGUCCCUUCCAACUCUACAGUUCUGUGAAUGAAACUCUAUGAAUGAAGAGCGAUUGCUUGUUUGAAAGGGAAAGGGAAGGCAAGCCCCGGCCUGCACCCCUUUCUUCAGAGUCCGCAAAGAAGGGGCUUAUCUCGGCUUCGGUGGGGGGUUCUACCCCACCACCCUCUCUAGGUGGCGAUCGGGCGUUGAUUGACGCGAUGUUUGGCAAUUGCAGAUUAGCAUGGCCCUUCUGGCGUCAAUGAGAGCUCUCUCGCCCGUUAAGUAAUUGAUUAAGGAAGGUGCGCGAAGUGAGGGUGACGUUAGCGUGGGAAAUUUAUUUGCUUAUUUGUUCGCUCAUUCAUUUAUGGUUUUGCCCCCUGAGCUCCAUGAAAGACCUGUUGGCGUCCGGUUGAAUCUGAAGAAAGGAUGCCGAUGUGGUGUACUGACCUAGGAGCCCGGAGAGCGGGGUUCGAAUCCCCACUCAGCCACGAAGCUCACCGGGUGACCUUGGGCCACGGACGCUGCCUCUUAGCCUUGCCUGCAUCGCAGGGGUGUGGUGAAGAUAAAAUGUGUGGGGAGAAACUUUGUACGCCGCCUCGAGGUUGGGGUAUCAAUGCAAGCAUAAAUAAUACAGUGGUACCUCGGGUUACAUACGCUUCAGGUUACAGACUCCGCUAACCCAGAAAUAUUAUCUUGGGUUAAGAACUUUGCUUCAGGAUGAGAACAGAAAUCACGCGGCGGCAGCAGGAGGUCCCAUUAGCUAAAGUGGUGCUUCAGGUUAAGAACAAUUUCAGGUUAAGAACAGACCUCCAGAACGAAUUAUGUACUUAACCCGAAGUACCACUGUAACGAUGCAGGUUUUCUCGCUGCGUGGGAGGAGAGCAGGCCAAGAAGGGGUAGCGAGGAAGAGCUCGGUGACACUCGAGAAAGUUCAUCAUCUGACACGGCCAUUGGGACGUCCGCUUGCUUUGCUUCUUCCCUUGGAAAAGGGUAGAACUGACCAAAAUCCCACAUUUUGAGGACAUAACUUUUCUCCGGAUUGAGUCACUGGAGGUUGUGUGGUCGUGGUCAAAAACCAAACCAAAAACACUCCAUGAAAAUGGAAGCUUAGUAUUCGGCUUAGGUUGAACCCUGAGAUGCUAGCUGUCUACCUACAAGUAGAAGUUGCUUCUUCCCCCGCAAAAAAACCCCCCAAACCCCUCGCCCCUGCAGGGUGGGUUUUCGUUUUUUAAAAACCUCUUUGUUCUGUUUUCCUAGUGUGAAAUUAUUAGGGUUUGCUCUGUUCUUUAAACAGCAGAACAUAGGAAACUGGCUUGGGCGGACUCAGACCCUUGCUCCAUCUUCACGGACUGGCAGCGGUUCUUCAGAGGAUUGAACCUUCAGCAUGCCAAGCGGACGCCCUAGUUAACUAGCUACCUCUCUUCACCCUUGGCUCAUCUCGUUCACUAUCGUUGGCCCUGACCGGCAGCGGCUCUGCAGGGCUUUCAAGGGAUAUCCCCACCCUUGUCUAGACAUGGCGGGGAUCGAACCAACGACCUUCUAGAUGGUCUGCCGCUACGGCCCAUGGGGAACUUUGCAGGGGCUGUGCAACUCUGGAGACCUGCAGAGUGAGGAGGUUUCAUUUCAGUUUGUCCUAGACGAGCGCCGCAGAGGAGCUGGGGAAGAGACAACAGAAAAUAGCAAUCGUCCUUUUGCCUUUAUGCCUGGGGGAGAAGGCGCUCAGCAACUUCUUCAAGAGAAAGAGAACUAAGUUGUUUCUACUCCGCCUAAAUACAAUAUGCUCUUUCUAAACGCAGGCGCUAUUAAGGCCGCGCUGUUUGCCUUGCAAUUUCGUGCAACCCUGAGGUGGAGGGGGAGAUUAAUGAACUGCAAGAGAAAGGGGGUGUGUGGAUAUUAAAUGGUGUUUUCAUCUAAGAAA